AUUAAGAUCUCAAAUGAAGCGAGGAUACCCCGCCCGAACUUUAAGCAUAUCAUUAAGCGGAGGAAAAGAAACUAACCAAGGAUGCCCCUAGUAACGGCGAGUGAAGCGGGCAAAGCUCAAAUUGAAAAUCGGGGCCUCUUUGGGGUUUCGAAUUGUAGUCUAGAGACGCAGCGUCAGCGAUGGCCCCUGGUAUAAAUCUUUUGGAACAAGGUAUCAUAGAGGGUGAGAAUCCCGUCUUUGACUAGGAGCGCUACGCGUACGACCUGUGUUCGAAGAGUCGGGUUGCUUGGGAUUGCAGCUCAAAAUGGGUGGUAAAUUUCAUCUAAAGCUAAAUAUCGACGAGAGACCGAUAGCAAACAAGUACCGUGAGGGAAAGAUGAAAAGAACUUUGAAGAGAGAGUUAAAAAGUACUUGAAAUUGUUAAGAGGGAAGCACUGGAAACCAGUCGUGCUCUGUGCCAUAUUUAUUGACGGCUGGCGAAGAGAGGUGGGUUCGAGAUCGCAAGACUCGAGUUUGCCUUUGGACGUUGGCUGGCAAGUUCUGUGGUAUGGAGUGAGUCAGAAUCAGUUUGUUUUUUUGCGCGGGAGAAAGCUAGCCUGGACGGUAGGGCCGAGGGGGCAACUUCAACGCCUGAAGCCGGUUAGUGCUACCGUGUAACAGACUGAGGAAGAAAACACGCACCACUCGGUUUCGGUUCCCGAUUCCUGGCUGGUACAUUGGCUUUGGACAACAAAGUUGUGCGGGUUGAUGUGCUGGUUACUGGGUUGGGUGAACUAGAUGCAGUGUUGGCGAUUCUGACGAAAUGGUUUUCAUUGACCCGUCUUGAAACACGGACCCAAGG
rnacentral:rRNA from 1 species